rnacentral:rRNA from 1 species
UAAGGAAUAUUGGACAAUGGGCGCAAGCCUGAUCCAGCCAUGCCGCGUGAGUGAUGAAGGCCCUAGGGUUGUAAAGCUCUUUUGUGCGGGAAGAUAAUGACGGUACCGCAAGAAUAAGCCCCGGCUAACUUCGUGCCAGCAGCCGCGGUAAUACGAAGGGGGCUAGCGUUGCUCGGAAUCACUGGGCGUAAAGGGUGCGUAGGUGGGCUUAUAAGUCAGUGGUGAAAUCUCCGAGCUUAACUUGGAAACUGCCGUUGAUACUAUAGGUCUUGAAUUAUCUGGAGGUAAGCGGAAUAUGUCAUGUAGCGGUGAAAUGCUUAGAUAUGACAUAGAACACCAAUUGCGAAGGCAGCUUACUACAUAUAAAUUGACGCUGAGGCACGAAAGCGUGGGGAUCAAACA